CUAAGUUGCAGUUUCUCUGUUGACAUGUAGAGCAUUGAAAAUCAGAUGAUAAUCAUGCACUAUCUCUGGCGUAAAAAUUAACAUAAAUGUGUUAUUAUUGUUAACAGGUUUUGCCUUGAAAGCAAGCAAGCAGGGACCACUCUAGCAACACCCUUGCAAUCAUGCAGAUACACCAUCAGAUGAUAUAAAACAUGUACUAGCAACAUGUCACUAACUCGAGAGAAUGUCCUUGAGCAGCCAUCAUGUGUGCAACAAAAUGCUUCUCGCGUUGAACUUCGAUCACACGUAGAACAUCUGUACUCUACAACACAAUACUACGUUGAUCAGUAACUACACUCAACUGCUCAGCGGCAACCUUUG